GACCUUGCAGAGUCGGCGAGGUUUCCGAGCCCGAAAGUUAAAACCGGAAUAGUUCCGGUGGAAAGACACGUCACACAGACCACAAGAGCAAACGCUCAGCGCCGCAAUACUGGUCGACCGAACCGAGGAUCACCCAGAUCAUGCCUUCCCAUACCAUAACCCCACCGCCGCCAUGGGGCCCUCUGUUCACAACGUUGACAUCAGCAAACCACUGGCCCACAUGACGCCAUACAGAUGGUCUGCGGUUGUGAGGCCCGGUUGAACGUGCUGCCAAAUGCAGUGAAGACGCGUGCAGCGAUGUCAUCCAGUAGCCAGUCUACUCCGGUGAGUAGGUUCUCUCCUGUCACAGCACUGCAGCCGAUGAUACACCAGUGGUGGGUCUUAAUGUCAUCCAGACAUUAAGUGUGUGUGUAUAGGUGGAUACUGUGUUCUCACCUCUCCUAUGGUCUCUCUACUCAGUGAUCCAGGAAUGUCCUGUUUGUUGAGUAGCUCCUGGUGUGUGUGUGUGUGUGUGUGUGUGUGUGUGUGUGUGUGUGUGUGUGUGUGAGAGAGAGAGAGAGAGAGAGACACGGGUCAAAGUACGAGGAAAUGGAGACAGUUGAUGAAAUCAAAGAAUGGAACAAAACUAGCAAAAGUUGUAGUAGAAGACAAAGACUGGUCCACUAAUGGACUCUUUUUUUGGACAAGGAGAUUAAUUUGGGAAAUCCAUUUGUAAUAUUGAGGAGAAAGCAGUGGGAAAUGUGGAUUCAAUCAAGGUGACUAGAAGCUCUGUUAUUUUGGUUAAUUGGGUCGAUGAAGAACAGAAGAAGCGUGCACUAAUCUGGAAAAUUGUCCACGUCAGAAGUAACAUGUAUUGACCUUCGGAGCAGGGCGUCUGCCAAAGGAGGAAAAGCUGCAGUCCAAGUGUCCAAGAAGUCCAAUUAGCUGGGUAUCAUAUCUGCUGCAGCCAAGAAGAUUUUGGGGCUUGAAGACUUGAAGACUACAGCAGAAGCACUACAGGUCUUGCCCUCCCAGGAGGCUUCUGGGGGUGUGUUGGACCUGGUGAGAAGGAGGUUUUUAUAGAAAAGCAGGUUGAUUUUUAUGUAGUUAAUUUCUUUUUUGGUCGUUUGUAUGAAAUUUUAUUUGUUCCCGAAUGUUUUCCUUUUCGUGAUCCUUAUUAUCCACCCGCACAGUAGGUGGCGGAAUGCACAAUGUUGCGAACGCCAUUAUACCAUAGAAGAAGAAAAAGGAAAGGAAGCUUACUUGGUUAUUCAUGAGAGGGUUUUUGUGGGUUAAGUCCUCCGUGUGUGUAAACGGUUUCAUUUCUCUUCAAGAUGCGGACGACUCGAGAGAGAGAGAGAGAGAGAGAGAGAGAGAGAGAGAGAGAGAGAGAGAGAAUACCCCGCUCAGAAAUGCAGGACAGAUGCCGUGAAGUCCAGCAGAGUGACACGUCUGCAUUACUUGUGACAUGACUUCAAGGCAUCUGAACAGAAUCUCCACUUCCAUUCUGGAAUAGGAAUGUGUGCUGAAUACCUGAUUCCAGAUCACGAGACUGAUGCGCUUUGUGAAAAUCCAGACGGGGGGGAGGAAGUUUCCUGACGGGAUUAACACAACCUUCACUGGGUUUGGGUGCUGUGGUCAAUGGCAUUGCAGCGUGGACUGCAACAUACUGGUUCUUCUGUAUGUGGCUGAACAGGGAGACGUGAUGCCAACUACACUGGUCCUGAUGGUGGUACCAGACAAGUCACUAGAAGAUGCCUGUUACUGAACUACCUCAAGGUCCUCUUCCAGGUCCUGACUGUUGUACCAGACUGGCCACUAGAAGGAAGCUCUUUGCUGUGACAGUGAAUGAAGUUGAUGUCCUUGUGGGUCUGCAGUCUUCAGGAAGGUCCUGACUGUUCCAGCCUGGCCACUGGAGAACUGUUGCUGCACGACCUCAAGGUUUCUGCCCCUCUGGUUGAGGUCCUGGUGUCUGCAGGGUUUGGAAAGGUGUGACUUUAGACGGAAUCUUAAGGCUCCUUCCACAUGAAGCAUUCUGGAAUGUUGUAAAUGAUGCUGUCAUUUCCAUUUACAGUCUGUUGUCAGAUCUGUGUUCUGGGGCUGGAUCAAGGUCUGGCCUCCCAUCGGUCCUCCUGUGGGUUGGGCAGACACUGACAAGCCUGCUCUUAUGCUCGGGGGCAGGGGUAAGGUGGGCUGCCUGCCUGGAGGGAGGGUGUCUGGGUGGGGGCUUGACCCCAGACCCUGGACUGCUGGAUGGCUACAAUGACUGAACUAGUGUUCUGAUCUGGUUUCAGAAUGUUCUGGAUGUAGUCUAGUGAUCUAAGAUGGGGAUUAUUUGGUUUUAAAACUGUUCUGUUUGUUUAGAUCUGGUUGGCUGCUGAAGUGUUGCUGUGCUGGUGGAGUUUGAAGCUCUCCUGUUUUACACCUGCAAGACCUCUUGCACUCCUGAUUGGUCAGCAAGGAAGUGGGGGAAACCAGGCCAAGUCAAUUCAACCCCACGACUGUGUUUUGAUGUAUGAAUAAAUCUACAAAUGUG